rnacentral:rRNA from 1 species
AGAGUUUGAUCCUGGCUCAGAUUGAACGCUGGUGGUAUGCUUAACACAUGCAAGUCGAACGGUAGCAGGUACUUCGGUAUGCUGACGAGUGGCGGACGGGUGAGUAACGCGUAGGAAUCUACCUAUCUGUGGGGGAUACCAGUUGGAAACGACUGUUAAUACCGCAUAAUAUCUGAGGAUUAAAGGUGGCAACUUGUUGCUGCCGCGGAUGGAUGAGCCUGCGUUAGAUUAGCUUGUUGGUGGGGUAAAGGCCUACCAAGGCUGCGAUCUAUAGCUGAUUUGAGAGGAUGAUCAGCCACAUUGGAACUGAGACACGGUCCAAACUCCUACGGGAGGCAGCAGUGGGGAAUAUUGGACAAUGGGGGAAACCCUGAUCCAGCAAUACCAUGUGUGUGAAGAAGGCUCUAGGGUCGUAAAGCACUUUAGUCAGGGAGGAAGGCCUUGUCGUUAAUAGCGGCAGGGAUUGACGUUACCUGAAGAAUAAGCACCGGCUAACUCCGUGCCAGCAGCCGCGGUAAUACGGGGGGUGCAAGCGUUAAUCGGAAUUUCUGGUGUAGCGGUGAAAUGCGUAGAGAUCAGAAGGAACACCAAUGGCGAAGGCAACACUCUGGACUAAUACUGACGCUGAGGGACGAAAGCGUGGGGAUCAAACAGGAUUAGAUACCCUGGUAGUCCACGCUGUAAACGAUGAGUACUAGCUGUUGGAUUCGGUGUAAAGGAUCUAGUGGCGUAGCUAACGCGGUAAGUACUCCGCCUGGGGACUACGGUCGCAAGACUAAAACUCAAAGGAAUUGACGGGGACCCGCACAAGCGGUGGAGCAUGUGGUUUAAUUCGAUGCAACGCGAAGAACCUUACCUGGUCUUGACAUCCUGAGAACUUUCUAGAGAUAGAUUGGUGCCUUCGGGAACUCAGUGACAGGUGCUGCACGGCUGUCGUCAGCUCGUGUUGUGAAAUGUUGGGUUAAGUCCCGCAACGAGCGCAACCCCUAUUGAUAGUUACCAUCAUUAAGUUGGGUACUCUAUUGAGACUGCCGCUGACAAGGCGGAGGAAGGUGGGGACGACGUCAAGUCAUCAUGGCCCUUACGACCAGGGCUACACACGUGCUACAAUGGAUAUUACAGAGGGCUGCGAUACCGCGAGGUGGAGCGAAACUCAGAAAGGUAUUCUUAGUCCGGAUUGCAGUCUGCAACUCGACUGCAUGAAGCAGGAAUCGCUAGUAAUCGCGAAUCAGAAUGUCGCGGUGAAUACGUUCCCGGGUCUUGUACACACCGCCCGUCACACCAUGGGAGUGGGUUGCUCCAGAAGUAGAUAGCUUAACCUUCGGGAGGGCGUUUACCACGGAGUGAUUCAUGACUGGGGUGAAGUCGUAACAAGGUA